UGGGGAAUUUUGGACAAUGGGCGCAAGCCUGAUCCAGCCAUGCCGCGUGCGGGAAGAAGGCCUUCGGGUUGUAAACCGCUUUUGUCAGGGAAGAAAUCUUCUGAGUUAAUACCUCGGGAGGAUGACGGUACCUGAAGAAUAAGCACCGGCUAACUACGUGCCAGCAGCCGCGGUAAUACGUAGGGUGCAAGCGUUAAUCGGAAUUACUGGGCGUAAAGCGUGCGCAGGCGGUUUUGUAAGACAGAGGUGAAAUCCCCGGGCUCAACCUGGGAACUGCCUUUGUGACUGCAAGGCUUGAGUGCGGCAGAGGGGGAUGGAAUUCCGCGUGUAGCAGUGAAAUGCGUAAAUAUGCGGAGGAACACCGAUGGCGAAGGCAAUCCCCUGGGCCUGCACUGACGCUCAUGCACGAAAAGCGUGGGGGAGCAAAACAGGAUUAGAUACCCCUGGUAGUCCACGCCCUAAAGCGAUGUCAACUGGUUGUUGGGAAGGUUCCUUCUCAGUAAACGUAGCUAACGCGUGAAGUUGACCGCCUGGGGAGUACGGCCGCAAGGUUGAAGCUUAAAGGAAUUGACGGGGUCAUAGCUGUUUCCU
rnacentral:rRNA from 1 species